rnacentral:sRNA from 1 species
CUCAAAAAUGGGCAAGAAGGAAAUGUGUAUAGGGGACAUAAAGAGGAUAAAAAGAAGCGAGAUCGAGACCGGGUGGAGAAUGAGGCAGAAAAAGACCUCCAGUGUCACGCCCCUGUGAGAUUAGACUUGCCCCCUGAGAAGCCUCUCACAAGCUCUUUAGCCAAACAAGAAGAAGUAGAACAGACACCCCUUCAAGAAGCUUUGAAUCAACUGAUGAGACAAUUGCAGAGAAAAGAUCCAAGUGCUUUCUUUUCAUUUCCUGUGACUGAUUUUAUUGCUCCUGGCUACUCCAUGAUCAUUAAACACCCAAUGGAUUUUAGUACCAUGAAAGAAAAGAUCAAGAACAAUGACUAUCAGUCCAUAGAAGAACUAAAGGAUAACUUCAAACUAAUGUGUACUAAUGCCAUGAUUUACAAUAAACCAGAGACCAUUUAUUAUAAAGCUGCAAAGAAGCUGUUGCACUCAGGGAUGAAAAUUCUUAGCCAGGAAAGAAUUCAGAGCCUGAAGCAGAGCAUAGACUUCAUGGCUGACUUGCAGAAAACUCGAAAGCAGAAAGAUGGAACAGACACCUCACAGAGUGGGGAGGACGGAGGCUGCUGGCAGAGAGAGAGAGAGGACUCUGGAGAUGCCGAAGCACAUGCCUUCAAGAGUCCCAGCAAAGAAAAUAAAAA